UACGUAGGGAGCAAGCGUUGUCCGGAAUCAUUGGGCGUAAAGAGCGUGUAGGCGGCCCGAUAAGUCCGCCGUGAAAGUCCAGGGCUCAACCCUGGAAUGCCGGUGGAAACUGUCGGGCUGGAGUCCGGAAGAGGCGAGUGGAAUUCCUGGUGUAGCGGUGAAAUGCGCAGAUAUCAGGAGGAACACCAAUGGCGAAGGCAGCUCGCUGGGACGGUACUGACGCUGAGACGCGAAAGCGUGGGGAGCAAACAGG
rnacentral:rRNA from 1 species